GAUGAACGCUGGCGGCGUGCCUAAUACAUGCAAGUCGAGCGAACGGACGAGAAGCUUGCUUCUCUGAUGUUAGCGGCGGACGGGUGAGUAACACGUGGAUAACCUACCUAUAAGACUGGGAUAACUUCGGGAAACCGGAUCUAAUACCGGAUGAUAUUUUGAACCGCAUGGUUCAAAAGUGAAAGACGGUCUUGCUGUCACUUAUAGAUGGAUCCGCGCUGCAUUAGCUAGUUGGUAAGGUAACGGCUUACCAAGGCAACGAUGCAUAGCCGACCUGAGAGGGUGGUCGGCCAAACUGGAACUGAGACACGGCCCAGGCUCCUACGGGAGGCAGGAGGAGGGAAUCUUCCGCAAGGGGCGAAGGCCUGACGGAGCAACGCCGCGGGGGUGAUGAAGGUCUGCGGAUCGUAAAACCCUGUUUUUAGGGAAAAACAUAUGUGUAAGUAACUGUGCAAAUCUGGACGGUACCAAACCAGAAAGCCACGGCAAACUACGG
rnacentral:rRNA from 1 species